GGAUCCUUCAGGAAGGGCUCUGGCUGGUGCAUUCCUUGGGAUAAACUCUCCUUUGCUUACCAAAUAGACUGGCCUGAGGUCAGAGGUGCCACUGGAGAGCCGGGUCCCCUGAGACAUGGAGAGGUCACAAGGCUGACAGAUGGGGGUGCAGCUGUGCCAUCACUACACCCUGAAGAAUUCCCUGCACUGCCUGUCUCAGUGCCUCCAUCAUUAGCAGGAGGAAUCCUGUUGACAAGACAAUUUUUAUUCAGUAGUGUACAGUUUUUAAAAACUUUUUAAACCUCACAGGUACAUUAUAUAGGAGUCAGAGGCUACUCAGCUCUACAUGUAGACAUGGGGAUCAUUUGGGAGACGUCUGGAUAAGAACUAGAUUCCAGGGAUAACUCAAUUGAGACUUUAACUCCACUUCCAUCAAAGCCAAAGACCGAUGCGAGCUGCCAUGAGCCACCAGACCGUGACAAGAGUGAAAUGAGAUGUCACCUGAGUUCCUGGAAGAUGACUAGUUCCAGAAAGAAUGUGACUCUUCCUCCUCCCAUUAGCCUAUCUCUUCCUCAUUCAUCCUACCCCCCAUCUGUGACUUCCUGACCCAUCACUGUGGUGAGAGGUUCACUGGACAGGAGGCCUCUGCCUUGGCUGGAGCGAGGGGGAGAGAGAUCGCGCAGGAUGACAGCCUUUCUUUAAAUGGGAGUUGCAGACCCAGAGGACAAAGAAAACUGGCUGAAGACCAUGGUGGUCUUGACUACUGUCUGAGGGAAUUUCAGUCCACUUGGCUGCUCACUGAAUCCUCAGCUGAUUCCCCUUCCAUCUUACCAUCUGUUUCCUCCUCCCCUCCAGCGUGGACACCCUGGCACUUUGUGAGGAAAUCCUCUCGAAGACACUGCUGCUGAAUGGUGUCUCACACAUGCUCCCCAGGGCCAGAACCCAGGUGCUAACUUUCUUUCCACCCUGCCGCCUCGUCAAGGCCUCAGGUGGACACAGGACAUCCUCAGGCGGACACAGGACAUCCUCAGGCAGACACAGGACAUCCUCAGGCGGACACAGGACAUCCUCAGGCAGACACAGG
rnacentral:lncRNA from 1 species